GGCCAGUUAGCUCAGUUGCUUAGAGUGUGGUGCUAAUAACACCAAGCUCAUGGGCUCAAUCCCCAUACAGACCA
rnacentral:tRNA from 1 species